UACGUAGGGCGCAAGCGUUGUCCGGAAUUAUUGGGCGUAAAGAGCUCGUAGGCGGUUUGUCGCGUCUGCUGUGAAAACCUAAGGCUCAACCUUGGGCUUGCAGUGGGUACGGGCAGACUAGAGUGCGGUAGGGGGUGACUGGAAUUCCUGGUGUAGCGGUGGAAUGCGCAGAUAUCAGGAGGAACACCAAUGGCGAAGGCAGAUCUCUGGGCCGUAACUGACGCU
rnacentral:rRNA from 1 species